GACGAACGCUGGCGGCGCGCCUAACACAUGCAAGUCGAACGGAGUCAAGAGGAGCUUGCUUUUCUUGACUUAGUGGCGAACGGGUGAGUAACGCGUGAGUAACCUGCCCUGGAGUGGGGGACAACAGUUGGAAACGACUGCUCAUACCGCAUAAGCCCACGGAUCUGCAUGGAUCUGCGGGAACAGGAUUUAUUCGCUCUAGGAUGGACUCGCGUCCAAUUAGCUAGUUGGUGAGGUAACGGCCCACCAAGGCGACGAUUGGUAGCCGGACUGAGAGAUAGAGCGGACACAUUGGGACUAGGACACAGCCCAGACUACUACGGGAGGCAGCAGUGGGGGAUAUUGCACAAUGGGGGAAGUCCUGAUGCAGCGACGCCGGGUGGAGGAAGAAGGUUUUCGGAUAGUAAACUCCUGUCGUUAGGGACGAUAAUGACGGUACCUAAAGAGAAAGCACCGGCUAACUACGUG
rnacentral:rRNA from 1 species